rnacentral:rRNA from 1 species
UUCUGGCUCAGGAUGAACGCUAGCUACAGGCUUAACACAUGCAAGUCGAGGGCAGCAUGAUCUAGCUUGCUAGAAUUGAUGGCGACCGGCGCACGGGUGCGUAACACGUAUCCAAUCUACCCAUGGCUCGGGAAUAGCCUUUCGAAAGAAAGAUUAAUGCCCGAUAGUCUUACCUGGAGACAUCUCCUGGUAAGUAAAGAUUCAUCGGCGAUGGAUGGGGAUGCGUCCGAUUAGCUUGUUGGCGGGGUAACGGCCCACCAAGGCGACGAUCGGUAGGGGUUCUGAGAGGAAGGUCCCCCACACUGGAACUGAGACACGGUCCAGACUCCUACGGGAGGCAGCAGUGAGGAAUAUUGGUCAAUGGGCGCGAGCCUGAACCAGCCAAGUAAGCGUGAGGGAUGGCGGCCCUACGGGUUGUAAACCUCUUUUGCAGGGGAAUAAAGUGCGGGACGUGUCCCGCCUUUGUAUGUACCUUGCGAAUAAGCAUCGGCUAAUUCCGUGCCAGCCGCCGC